ACGGACUUGGUUGAAAACAUGGGAACGAUAUUGAUAAUAAUUUUAACAAUAGCUUUGCUCCAGUCAGAGGUUCAGUCUAAAGUUGAUGGCAAUUGGACGGAUUGGUCAACUUGGUCAGCGUGUGCCAUCACAUGUGGGAACACCACGCAAACAAGAAGUAGAGCAUGUACUAACCCUCCAGCUGCCGACAACGGGACGGACUGUGAAGGGACUUCAGAUGAUUACCAGCCAUGCCUUAGAGAACCUUGUCCGGUUGACGGCAACUGGACUGAUUGGUCAAGCUGGUCAGCUUGUUCUGUAACACGUGGAAGCGCAACAAAAACUAGAAUAAGAACUUGUAUCAGCCCUCCACCUGCACACAAGGGCACAGAGUGUGAAGGUGCAUCGGAGGAUUAUAAGUCCUGCGUACAUAAACCCUGUCGAGGCUGGGGACCAUGGAGUGAAUGGAGUUCAUGUUCGUCAACUAGUGGUGUAGGAAUACAACAUCGAAACAGGUCUUGGUAUUCUUGGCCCAGCUUCACAAGUAUAGAUGAUUUAUGUGAUGGCGAUUAUACAGACGUACAGAUAUGUAUGCCAAGCGCAUUCGAUGGUGGAUGGACUCAGUGGUCAUCAUGGAGCACGUGCUCAGUCACGUGCGGUAUUGGACUUAACCAGCGAACACGUUCUUGCACAAAUCCUAGACCUUCCACAUUUGGUCAUCAUUGUGAAGGACCAAAUAUUGAUGUUGCUAUAUGCAACAAGCAACACUGUCCUACCUCAGUCCGUUUGAGGGAUGGUCUUUUGGAGAUUUACGUAAAUGGUCAAUGGGGAACCGUGUGUGAUGAUGAGUUUGACUCCAACGAUGCAAAAGUGGCUUGCAGAAUGCUUGGUUUCGAUAAUACUCAAACAGCCAGAUUAAGAUCGGAUGUGGUUAGAGGAAACGUGUCAAUGCCGAUCUGGUUGGAUGAUCUUCGUUGUAACGGCAAUGAAGAUUCCUUGCUGGAGUGUUCCCAUAAUGGGGUGGGUACCCAUAAUUGCAACCACAGCAAAGACGUUGGCUUGGUCUGCUGAGGGCCCAUAUUUGAAUAAUGCUUCAUUAUGAACACUACCACAUGUUGACAGAACAGUAGUCAUAUAAAGAUGAAAUUAAACAGUUCGUGAAAGGAAACGAUUUACACAUGACACUUGCUUCGAGAGGAAUUCACUUUAAUAUAUUUGUAUCGUCAUGUACGUUCAACAACAAAGGUCAAUAACUCUGAAAUGCAAUUGAGAAGACUUAUACCCCGUAUUGUUCUUGAAGUGCUUAGGGUCUUCGGUUGAGUCAUUGCGCCUAGUUUUUGCCUUCUUUAUUUUAACGUAUUUAUCUGGUGAAUAUUAAAUCUGUUCAUUGGUGCCUGCUGUAAUCACAGUGCUCACUAAUCAGCGGUGACUUAAAUACAGAUGCAAAGAAAUCUGUGCAAUAAAUAACUUACAAAUCAGCUGAGAGAAUAGUCUGAAGAUAAUUUAUUUUAUGGUGCAGUCAUACAUUGAUUGGACUUUCACAUGGAAUGGCCCUUCAUUACUCAAACGACAAGAAGUUUAUUUUAAAUCGCGCACCAUUAGUCAAGUAUUCCUGUAAAGAAUGUUUAUUGAUUCCUUAGAAAGAAGUCUUAACUCUAAAGGAAGAUUUGAGUAGACCAUAGGAGGAAGAUUAAUGUAUUCCUUAGGAAUAACAAGUGAAAUUUGAAAUGAAACAUGUUUUAAUUAUUUAAUGAUUUUCACAUUAUUCUAUAGUAAGAAUUCAAGCCUAUCAAUUCAUCAUUCCUCAGCCUAUAAUGAAUUCAUUCCAUCUAAUCAAAACACAUGUAACAAAUAAAUGGACAACACGCAGGCUUUUUUUAGAAAGGAACUCUGUUUCAAUAUUAUUUGGAUAAACACACACACACUCUUAAUUGAUUGAAAACGUAAGUUUACUGAAGGUCCAUUAUUAUAUGUUUUUGUAUGCAGAGUGAACAUUGUGAGAAUUCGAAUUACAAACGAAAACAUCUAUAGUGGGGGGGGGGGGGGGGAAUUAAAGUAGAAAUAUUGAUUGAGCAUGAAUGUAUAUGAGCCUGUAUAUAUAAACAUCAUAUGCCUUUUUGCUGCCUUCUGCCAUUAAGUUUUGGUGUGUUGGCUAAGUUGCAAAAUUGGCGUCAAAUAUCAGAGUUGUUUUCAUAAAUGUAUUAGUUUUAAGCAUAAUGCAGGUUUAAUCUAAAAAGAACAUCUCAGUCACUUUCUGUAUGUUUAAUGGCAUUUUUAAAUGGAGAACAUAAUAAAAUAACAGUUUGGGAACAUAUUUUACACUUACAGCAUAUAAGACCAAUAUGUAACAUAGUAACCAUGAAAAACUUGAGUAUAUGUCUGAAUCUAUAUUUAUGAAUACUCGGGAUAAUUCAAUAUUAUGUUUGUUUUCUACAUAUCUUGUAUUUUAGAUGAAAAAAGUCAUUGCAUGAAGAUUAAGUGCUCAGGGAAC